rfam:Schistosoma mansoni strain Puerto Rico chromosome 4, complete genome
GCACUGGUUAGGAGUCCCAAAAUAGGACGAAACGGCCGUCCAGUGC